UACAUGGGGUGCAAACGUUGCUCGGAAUUAUUGGGCGUAAAGAGCUCGUAGGCGGCUUGUCGCGUCGGAUGUGAAAGCCCGGGGCUUAACCCCGGGUCUGCAUUCGAUACGGGCAGGCUAGAGUGUGGUAGGGGAGAUCGGAAUUCCUGGUGUAGCGGUGAAAUGCGCAGAUAUCAGGAGGAACACCGGUGGCGAAGGCGGAUCUCUGGGCCAUUACUGACGCUGAGGAGCGAAAGCGUGGGGAGCGAACAGG
rnacentral:rRNA from 1 species